rnacentral:rRNA from 1 species
GUGAACGAGCGACGCCGCGUGCAGGAUGAAGGCCUUCGGGUUGUAAACUCCUGUCGAGGGGAAGCAAGGGCGCGUGCAGAGCGCGUCUUGAGCGACCCCUGGAGGAAGCACGGGCUAAGUUCGUGCCAGCAGCCGCGGUAAGACGAACCGUGCGAACGUUAUUCGGAAUCACUGGGCUUAAAGCGCGUGCAGGCGGCUCGAUGCGUCCGUCGCUGAAAGCCCCCGGCUCAACCGGGGAAGCGGCGCGGAAACGAUCGAGCUCGAGGGGGGUAGGGGGGGCCGGAACUUCCGGUGGAGCGGUGAAAUGCGUUGAGAUCGGAAGGAACGCCCGUGGCGAAAGCGGGCCCCUGGACCCCGCCUGACGCUCAGACGCGAAAGCCAGGGUAGCGAACGGGAUUAGAUACCCCGGUAGUCCUGGCCGUAAACGAU